GCUGAGGCAGGUGAACCUCUGAGUUCAAGGCCAGCCUGGUCUACAUGAUGAGUUCCUGGAGAGCCAGGGCUAUAUGUAGAGAGACCCUGUCUCAGAAACAAACAAACAAACAAACAAACAAAAACAACAAGAAAAGAAAACAAGAAAACAAGAAAAGAAAGGAAAGAACCCAAGUCCCCUGGAAGAGUGUGUGCUCUUAACUAGUGAGCCACAUCACAGAAAUAAAACCCACUAAUAGGAGUGGCGAGGAGGACUGGAGGGUGAGAAGUGAGACUUCAGAUUUGCAAGUUCUGCUGAGUACCUCACAAAUCAGGAAGACAUCACCCAGCACUGAGGUGCGUGCGUGCUUCAAAAUGGAGAGACAGUGGAUCUGUGAAAUGUGCUUGACCUCCUUAACCCCAACCAAAUGUGGCUUGAGAAAGCCUCCAUUCUCAGAUGCUCCAGAGACAGGAAAAUCCAACUUCACUCAGCACUAGGCUACCUCAGUGAUUUGCCUUAUAAGGAAAAAAUGGUCUCAGUCAAUCCCAUCAGCCAAGCUUUAGUCAAACCAGGUUCAAAAUAAGGCAAAUGCCAAGUUGUAGUUAAGAGGGCUUCUUUCUCCCUAUCUCAUUUGCCCUGACCUGUAACUGCUAUCCAGCCGUGUGGUAGCCCUGGAGCAUCACUGAACCUAUCCUAUUCUGGGGUCCACCUGACUCAUGAAUCAUUCUGGGCUCAUAAACACUAUUAAAUUUAAUUUGUUUAAAGCUUGUUUUUCUUUCUUUCCUUACAUAUGCGUGGGAACAAGCUAUCUCCAUAGCAGAAGUGGAGGUCAGAGAACAACUUCUUUGUGAAUGGUGGUAUUUGGCAUUGCUUUAGCUGCAGAGUAUAGUUGGUUAGCUAACGUGGAAACACAAUCAGGAUCUUUCACUAGAAACGAAGGGUAUUAAUAUUACUGACAAGUGCACACACAUGUAUGCACACCCAAACACAGACAAGCAUGCGUGUUCUCAUAAUAGUUACAGUGAUAUAAAAUCUCUCCCCCUAAAAAUGAAGAUAUUUAUAAUUAGCUUGACAAUAAUACCAAUAGAAAUGCAGAAAACCAACAUUCACUUUAAUAUUUCCUUUUCUGAGACAAGAGAGUAAUUACGAUAGAAUUAUAUUGGUUAGGAUACUCUGAACUACAAGUAACAGACUUCAACUCCAAUUAGCUUAAUGUAGCUGCUAACUCAGAGAGUAAGCCCAGCAGAGACAUGUUCAGAGACCCUCAGUCCAGGGGUCCCAGCUCUUUCCUCUGUACCUCCCUCAUCUCUGCCUUUCUAAAGGUUCCAGUUUAUCCUCUGACUAAUGUCAGCUCCUGACAACAAAAGCAAGAUGAGAAGAGAACAGUCCAGCUACCUAUUCCCUUUUAUGAUGCCCUUGUCUUCAUGACUCUUCCUUUCUUUUUUCCUUCCUUCAUCUCUCCCCUCUGGAGGCAUAAUGUAAAGAUUAUCCUUGUAUGAUUCAAAUGCUGUGUUCGGUGCCCCCAAAUGUGACUGCAAUCCUUACUCUGAGAAUCUCCCGUCUUGAUGUUGUGUUUUUUGUUCCCCAAUUAUUCUCUGAUUGGUCAAUAAAGCUAGCUGAUCACCCAAUAACUGAGCAGGGGAGAGACUAGAACAGGACUUCUUCCCAGUUAAAGAGGGCAGGAUAGAGAGGAAAUAGGAAUUCAGCUACAAGGAGAGGGUCUAGGAAACACCAUGAGAAAACAGCAGAGAUAGGCAGAAAAUGCAAGUAUCUCAGGAACUUUGGCUGGGAGGUAGCCACAGUAGCUUAGAGGAUUAAAAUAAAGUAAUAUAAAGUAGUACUGCUCAGUUACUGUGCCUUAAAGCUGUAAAUAAAUAUAAUAGAACAGUCUCAAGUAUUUGGAAACUAGCUAGGUAAGAGAAAAACUGUAACAUUAAUAAAAAUGCCAGUAAUAGCUCUUUAUUUUAUGUGUAUUCAUGUAUAGAGUGGGUGCACAUCAGUGUGUGUGUGUGUGUGUGUGUGUGUGUGUGUGUGUGAAAAGAUCAGAGUUCAGCCUAAAAUGCAGAUCCUCUGGCAUGAGUCACCUCUUUAAAAAUCCCUGUAUUUAUUUAUUGAAGGUAGGGCAUGCCACAGUGGGAAUCAGAGGACAACUUGUGGGAAUCUGGUCACCCCUUCCGCUGCCUGAGUCUCAGAGACUGAACUCAGGUUGACAGGUUUUGCAGUAAACACUUUUAUCCAUCGAAGCAUCUCACCAGCCUCUCUCUUACUGGCCUGGAGAGGAAAGCGAGGCUGGCUGGCCAGGGAGCCCCAGAAUCCCACCUUCCAAGCAUGUGGAGCUCAACAUUCAGCUUUUUUUUUUUUUUUUAAACAUAGGAUUAAACUCAAGUCCCUGUACUUGGAACUUUACUAAUAAGUUCUCUCUCCAGCCCCCUGUCUUAUUUCUCAAGGACUUGUCAUUGGAACAUCAUGCUCUGGUGGGCUAAGUCCUACUUCCUGCAGUAACCACUGCCUUGGGACUUACCAAGAUUGAACUAAUUCACCCCAAGAUUCAGGUUAAGGCCCAUCCUUGCAAUAAUGAAGCUGAGUUACUUCCCCGGUACACAGGGCUACUAUAAAUAGCUCAAGAGUGGAAAGCCUGCUUGGCAUAAAUCAUAUCUUUUAUAAUAUUCAAAUUUGUAUCAUUAAUACAAUUUCAUAUUUGCAUCUGUGUGACGUGGGUAAGCCAUGACCAGAGUCAUGCUGCCGACACGCAUAUCAGUCCACUCCACUGACUGGUGCCAGCUGUACUUCUCUGACGUUCACUUCAACCACUGCUUAAUCAAGAAACAGAAAAUACAUAGGCAAGAUAUGGGCAAUCCAAGACUCUGAUGCCACCUCUGCUAAACUGUGAUGGUGACAGCCAGGACAGUCCUCCAGCCCUCCUGGCCUGUUCUAAUUCCCCAAAGGAGCUGUGGAGAGGAGGGGGAGGAGCUGCCACAAAUGCCAGCAUCAACAACCACAGUACAGGUUUCUGUGAGGUGUGUGGGCAAAACACCUUUACACACAGAUAAAAUAAAUAAACAUUUUGAAAAAGAGUAAGAUUGAAGAGGGCUAUUACAUCUCUAAAAAGCAUAGCUUUCUGAAGGAGCUUAGCUAUGUUUAAGGUCAAAAGAGUCAUCCGAUUUCAAUAGACUUUUAAAGAGCAUCAGCUUUUGGCAAUGAAUAAUAUAAUAAUUCAUGUUCAAAAUGAUAGCUUUGUGUUGCCCUGACUUGAGAACACUUCAUGAGUUACUUCAUAGCAACGUGGAGGCUCAUCCAGCUGGCAAUCCAAACCAUCAUCUACCUUGGGAGACCAGACUCCCCGGUCGAGGCUGCACUGCUCAAAUAUACCCACUACAAUUUUUCUUUUUCAUAGUCUUAAACUGACUUGGCUUCCCCAUUAGUAUUUAUCUAUUCCAACAACAUAAGAAACAAACUGUAAAAAAAAAAAAAAAAAAAACACUCCCAAGGGACUCAAAGCCAUUUUCAUUUUGACAUUUUUUUUCUGAAUGAUUCUCAUAGAAAUGGCAGCUCACAAUUGAUUCGUGCUAUUCACUAUAAAAGGCAGGAGAGGAAAUAGAACCACAGAAUCACAGGCCUGGCAAGAAUCCUGGAGAGCACAGGUUUGUUCUCAUGGCUAAGAAAAUGGGCCCAGAUAAAUGUGGGAAUUUCAUCAGUCAUAAAGACUCAUGCAUGAUGGAUUAAAGAUUAAAUUGUUUACAUUUUAAGAUCACAACUGCAGCCCAACAUGAUGCUGCACAUCUUCAAUCCUAGCACUCAGGAGGCAGAGGCAGGCAGAUCUGUUAGUUAGAGGCCAGCCUGGUCUAAACAGUGAGUUCCUGGACAGUCUGAGCUUAUACAGGGGAACCCUGUCUCAAACAAACAAACAAACAAACAAACAAGCAAACAAAGGACUGCCCCAAGAGACAUGAACAAGAAGCCCAGGCCUGUGAUGCCUAUUCACUAAAGGGCAACAUCUGAGAUGCCUACCACCAGGAGAGAACACCAAGAAUACACUCUUGUUAUUCAAAGAGUGACUGCACUGAGGCACUUAGCUAUGCCACACCUGUCAACACACCUGUCAACACACCUGUCAACACACCUGUCAACAGGGCUGAAUUUAACAUAACAUUAACUGGAAAAAAAAUAAGUUCAGAAAUACAGUCAAAUUAUUACUGGAAUUCUCUAAAACCACUACAAAAAAGUCUGUUUCAUUAGCACGUAGUACAUCCAUGUGUGAAGUAGUAUCAUUUAUACUUACGCCAGAGGAUAAUUAAACUGUAAAAUAUCUCCAUAAAUAUGAUGGCUCAGCAGUUAAGAGCAAUGGUUGCUUUUCUAGAGGACCUGGGGGUUCAAUUCCCAGCACCCACAUGUCAGCUCACAACUGUCUGUAACUCUAGACUCAGGGGAUCCAAUGCCCUCUUCUGGCUACCAUGAGCACUGAUACAGAAGACGCACAGAUACAGGUACAGGUAAAAUAGCAUACACAUAAAAUAAUAAAAUAUAAUAAAGCAUAAAAACAUGCAUGAGAAUGGUUGGUAACAAAUUAAGGAUAACUAUUACUUCUGGAAAGAAAUGAAGGGAGUAAGGAUUCACAAGGGGUUGAUUCUAUUUUUAACUCACUAAUUUUUAAAAAAGAUUUAUCUUUCAAUUGUGUGUGUGUGUACACCUAUAUGCACAUCAGUGCAAGUGCUUAUGGAGGCCAGAGCUGUGGUAUUCCCCUGGGGAUGGACUUAAGACAGUUGUGAACUACCUGAGAUAGGUGCUAAGAACUGAACUCAGAUCCUCUCAACGAUCAGUAUGUGCUCCUACCUGCUGAGCCAUCUCUCCAGCCCUUUAAUUUAUUAUUUUUAAAAUCAAGUAAUAGGUACAUGGAUAUAGGAGUAUUUUGUAUUAGCAAUACUUUCAUGUACAUGUACGAUUUCUUUAUUUUUAUUUAUGUGUCUAUCUGUGCUGCCUGUGAAGGUAUGUGUACAUGUGUGUGGUAUGCACAGGUGUGUGGGUAUUUAUAGAGGCUAAAAGAGGGUGUCAGAUCCCCUGGAGCUGCAAUUACAGGCAGUUGUUAUCUGCUCUAUGAGGAUACUGGGAACUGAACUAGGGUCCUCUAGAAGAACAGAAAAUGCUCUUAACUGCCGAGUCGUCUCUCCAACUCUUUUCAUUUACAUUUUUUUUUUAAAAAGCAUCUUUGAAAACUGGAUGUGGUAGUACGCGCCUUUCAUCCCAGCACUUAGGAGGCAGAGGCAGGCAGAUCUCUGUGAAUUUGAGGUCAGCCUAGUCUACUUAGUGAGUUCCAGGACAGCCAGGGCUACAUACUGAGACCUUGUCUCAGAAAAAAACAAGCAAACAAACAUGAUUUUUUUGAAAGUAAAUCAUGGCUGGGGUGAUGGCUCAGAGGAUAAGUGCUUACUAGUCAAGCAUGAGGACCUCAAAUACAUGUUAAAAAACAAAACUAAACAUUAGAUGUGGCACUAUGACCCCAGCAUUGUGGGGUCAGGGAUGCUCUGGGGUGGGUGUGUUCUUCUUGGGCCAAGCAGCAUAGCCAAAACAAUAAGCUACAGGUUUGUUGAGACAUAUGCUUCAAAAAAUAGUCAAAAGUGACAGAGGAAAACACCUAACACUGACAUCUGACCCACACAUACAUACAAAAUAAAAGAUAAAUAAUAGAAAUUUAAAGCAAACAUUAGAGGUUUGGAAAACAAAUAUGAAGGGAGAUAUCCAUUCACCACAUUUAGGAAAGCCAAGCCAAGUUUUAGUAAUGAAAGGUACUUAAAAAGACUUAGCUGCAGACAAGCAGGCCUAUCACCCCUGUUCAAUAUAGAGGGCCUGUGAGCCUAUAGGUGCAGUGGUUUUCAACCUUCCACUCUGCGGCCCCUUAAUUCAGUUCCUGUGUUGUGGUGACUGCAACCAUAAAAUUAUUUUCAUUGCUACUUCAUAACUGUAAAGUUGCUACUGUUAUGAAUCAUAAUGCAAAUAUCUGUGUUUUCCAAUGGUCUUAGGUGACCCCUAAGAAAGGAUCAUUUGACCCCCAAAGGGGUUAAGACCUACAGGUUAAGAACUGCUGCUGUGAGCCAGGCAUGGUGGCACACGCCUUUAGUCCCAGCACUUGGGAGGCAGAGGCAGGCGGAUUUCUGAGUUUGAGGUCACCUUGGUCUACAAGGUGAGUUCCAGGAUGGCCAGGGCUAUACAGAGAAACCCUGUCUCGAAAAAAAAGAAAAAGAACUGCUGCUGUAGUGAGUUACCAUGUUGAGAAGGCUCUCUGUGUUGGGUAGGGGAACUGGACAAGACAAAGGAGUCCUGAUUUUCCAUUCAAUGAGAGAAGGAAGAAGGACCCCCCCCCCCCCCCCCCCGCCAAUUCCUUCCCCUGGGCUGUGCUUACAUCUCUGAGGAAAAAGCAUUUUCUGGGAAUAUCCACAGAACACUGGACUUCAAGACACCAGAAAGGUGUGAUGUGGAGUGUGUGUUCAUUCACAGUACUGCUUAUAAUACGGUUGGUUUUCAGAAACCAGUGAGGCAGCUGGAGCCAGCUGGAGAGACGGAUUUCACCAGAGCCUAGGAAAAAACACUGAGCCUAGCCCAACCCACAGUUGCUGGACCUCACAGGGAAAAGGAACUCUGAUGGAAGAAAAGAAUGGGCCACCUUUUAUCCUGCAAGUUAGAAAUAAUUUAACAUGCAAGAAGGGACAGAGUGGUAACCUCUUCUACACUGGAGUCAAACUAGUUGACAGAUACUAACAACCAUAGUACCUCCGACAAGAGAAGAGGGGCAUCCCGGGUGAGUGAGGGUGAAAGUCAGCUGAGUGUGGGAAAGACUGCUUUUAGCCUGGCCAUGGGAAUGCUCUCUGGGAGGGCAGCGGGCCAGCUCUCCUGACCUUCAGCAUGAGCUGUGACUUGAUGCAUUCUGUCCUGGGACACUCGGGGGAAGCUGUAGCCUGAAUCGUGGAAAUGAGGAGUGGGGAGAGGCUCAUGUUCUCCCGGCUUGUAGGCGGUACCCUGGAGGCUGUGGAGCCUUUAGAAGGGGGGGGUGCUUCCUGUUUUUGAUACCUGGCAGCAGCAGCACCCAGUAGCACGAUACAGCUCGCUGUCAGAGAGGCUGCUGUGAGGAUGUGAGCAAGCACUCCCAGUAUACCGUAUCACUGAUGGCUUUAGAUACAGACAUGCAAUAAACCACAGAAGACAGUCACCCUUUACUAUGAUGCAGACAUAGUAUGUCAUAUGACUGCCCACAUUUUAAACGGGCCAGGCCAUGUAACUCUUAGCCUUUAAUCCCAGUACUCGGGAGGUUCCAGGACAGCCAGGGCUAC